GCGGAUAUGGCGGAAUUGGCAGACGCGCAAGAUUUAGGUUCUUGUGUCUUUUGACGUGGAGGUUCGAAUCCUCUUAUCCGCA
rfam:Lactobacillus secaliphilus strain DSM 17896 NODE_29, whole genome shotgun sequence.